CGGCACCGCGGACCGGGACCGGGAACACGGACGGGAACCAGCACUAGGACCGGAAUUGGGAUCGGGACCAGGACCACGACGAGGAAGACUAGGACCGGGAUCGUGACUACGAUCAGGACUAAGACCGGGACCGGAAUCGGGACUAGGAGCGGGACCAAGCCUAGGAGUGGGAUCGGAAUCGGGACUAGGAGCGGGACCGAGCCUAGGAGUGGGAUCGGAAUCGGGACUAGGAGCGGGACCGAGCCUAGGAGUGGGAUCGGAAUCGGGACUAGGAGCGGGACCGAGCCUAGGAGUGGGAUCGGAAUCGGGACUAGGAGCGGGACCGAGCCUAGGAGUGGGAUCGGAAUCGGGACUAGGAGCGGGACCGAGCCUAGGAGUGGGAUCGGAAUCGGGACUAGGAGCGGGACCGAGCCUAGGAGUGGGAUCGGAAUCGGGACUAGGAGCGGGACCGAGCCUAGGAGUGGGAUCGGAAUCGGGACUAGGAGCGGGACCGAGCCUAGGAGUGGGACCGAGCCUAGGAGUGGGAUCGGAAUCGGGACUAGGAGCGGGACCCCCCGCCCCACACGGGGCCGCGCGCCGGGGGGGGCGUGUCCGUUCCGCGCGCCGUGCCCCACCCGCCCCCUACCUGGCGAUACCGGAUGUGACGUCAGACGCACGCGCCGGCACGGGGCGGAACCAGGAACCCCGGAUGUGUUGCCAUGGUUACGCCGUGCGUGGCGAGCGGGCCCGGCGCGCCCGCCAUGGCGGCUGGGGGGGGCGCCCCCCCGCCAUGGCGGCUGUGAGGGGCCCACCUACCUGGCCGAGGGUACCAGGCACCACAGUGUCCCUCCCUCCCUCCCCAUCCCUGCUCUGGGACAUUCACAUAACCUUUGAAAAGCUUGGGCUUUUUUGUUGUGCGUUUUGUUUAUUUUGGCAUUUCUUGGUUUUGUUUUGGUGUUUUAUUUUUAUUAACUAAAAUAACCAGACAAGGGACUGGGGGAUUUGAGAAAAGCAUAAUCUGCUUUAUUUUUUAAUUUUUUUUUUAUUUAAAUAAGGAGAAUUCUUUCAUAUGGAAAGAGCUAAUACAAUCACAUAUUUGAAAGGAGAAACAAUAGGUACUGAAACGAGGAGAAGGGCAAUAAAGAGUGUGCCGCAACUGGCCUGGUGAUUCCGUGAUUCGAAUUCCAGUCCGAGUAAAAGUUUCCAAAAAAUAUAAACAAGGUUGCACGUUACACAAUUAUCCAUCGUCUGCCCUUUCAAAUAUCUGGUCUACAUGAAAAGACAAAGAGAGGAAAGGCCAAAAAAAAUUUACUAUACAGGUCAUGGAGUUAAAAGCUUUAAGGAGGACAAUAUCCCCUUGAGAAACAACAAAUGCAAUUUAUACAGAACCAGAGGGAGGAUUCCAGCUAAGGACAAAUGCCUCGAGACAUGCUAAAGGGUGAGCGCCUCACUGCUGCAGCUGUGAUUCCUGGGGACAUCUGGAGCAGCCAGAACAAGCCACUAAACCAAGGGAGUGUCUAUGGCCACUGCAAAACCCGGUGGUUUUUGAAUUAAAAUAAACAACAAGAACAGCUGGACUCUACUGUCUCUUUUAAGCUUCAGCAAAAUGCUCCUUUUCUGUCCACGGGCCACAACUAAGCACGCUGGUGGCUGUCCUAAAUUAAAUUUUAUUCACAAAUGCAACUUCCUUAUGAAGAAACUGGGUUGCUGAAUAAAAAAUAACCAGUGCUACAAGGAAUUAACCUGUGCUUAACCAGCCUGGAGCAAAAGGGAGGGCUAAGAAAAUGCAACAGAAGGAGGGCCUGGCAUGCAGGGAUGCUGGCUGCAACGUGACUGGAGUAGCCAAGAGGUGAGACACAGCAAAAACUCUGGGCUUAUUUUGAAUAGCUAUCUAUAAAUACACAGGAACCACAGGGCAGCUUGUGGCUUUGCAGCAUUCCUGCAAGGAAGGUGUUGAUGGGGUGAAUGCCACACACAAGGGAGUGCAACAAGGGCAGCAAGCACAUCCAGAGGUGCUGACACUGCACAGCUGGCACAGCCAGGAGCAAGCUAUGGAACAUCAACAGCAAUACCUGUGGCACUGGUGACUGUGCUGCUUCUGCUUGUUUAUUUAAAGUAUACUGGAGUGCCUUUUUUUCCCCCACUUUUUUUUUUUCUUCCCAGACUUCGAUGUUGAUUUGUUUUUAAAUCAAGAGUUAACAGCAGAAGUGGUGAGGAAAGCAGCACUGACUGGAGCUGGCCAUGACUCACUGUGUGACAGGGAACUGAGCACACGGGUGCUUCAGACCCUCUGCUGAACACGAGCAGCAGAGUCAGCCUCUGAACAUUCCUGCUGGGAAGAUGGGCUCCACCUUUCCCUCCCACUGCAGCCUGCACCUUUCCCAGCAGGAGCCUGCCAUUUGGUAGCUGACUUCCAGUCAAAGCAAAAGCAACUCACAAAGGAAUAAAUCAGCAAUGAAUCAACCCUUCAGCAGUGCAGACAGCAAGCAGAAGGACCCUCUGCAACCCUAUUGGUACAUUCUGCACAUCUCCAUCCUCCUCUCCACGCUGGAUUUUUAUCAGCAUUCCAGCUCCCUUGGCAUUUCUGCUCCUUUGAGGAUCAGAGGCUUUUUCCUUUUGACUCCAGAGCACCACAAACUGCACUAACCUUGGACUAGCUUUAAACAAACAAACAAACAAACAAACAAGCAAACAAACAAACAAGCAAAAAUAUAUGCCAGAGAAGGAUAUUGCACCGUAGAAAUUUGGGCUCUAAAACUGCUUUCCAUCACACAAAACUCCACUAAGUGAGAGAGAGUCUUGCCAACUGCAGCUGACAGUCACGCAAAGUUGAGAAAUGGAAUGAAGCUCACAUGCAUUUCUUGGCCUUUCCUGCACAGAAUAAUUCAGACAUAAUAUAUAAAUAGAGCAGUGAAACAAUUACUUUUUCACCUAGACCUACAACAUCAAAUACGUAUAAAUAAAUUCUAGUGUUUUAUUCUGUUGGGGGAAGGAAUGGAGGGAUUAAAAGAGAAACAAGGGUGACCUUUUUCAACAGGAAGUUUUGUAGUUCUGAUGGCAUUUACACCAGAGGGACUGCAGUAACUUGGAUCUUGCAAUAACCCAGUUUCUCCAACACGUUUGACCAUUUUGAAGUCACACAGGUGGGAGGAAGGAGGUUAGUGUCUUUGUAAAGCUGAAGUAGUGUGUCUAGAGUAGGGAAGAGAUGAGAAGAGGGGGGCUCAGGUAAGUCUCUUUAGCCAUUAGUUAGAUUCUGGGCUCAUAUUAGCUAGGGCCAGCUGGGCAGAAGGAUAAUAAAAAAAUCCCAAACAGACAAUUCUGCUGUUAAUGGUAUUUCAAGGGAGAAAACAGAAACGAGGGUGGGAUGACUUACUGGAGGUGCAAUCUUUGGAAAACAAUGGGAGCAGGACUAGCAGAUGAGGAUGCAGAUCUGGGAGAUGUCUGAAGGUUGGGGAAAUAUUUGUCACUAAAUCUCAAACCCUGUACUUUAAGGAGGAUGCUAGAGAGAUGCUGGCACACUCUGCUCUGAAAUUAAAAUCCAUAAAACCUAAGAAAAAAAGAGCUCUUAUAUUUUCUUAAAGUACCAUCCUAUCCCUUUCCCUUCGGGUUCUCUGCCAUGAUCCAUGGGGACACCUGUGGAGAGGGGACAUUACUAUGCCUAAGCUAGUUUAGGUCUCUAAGCUCUUUGAAGCUACUGUAUAAAAAUCAUAUUUAUGCCUAGCUUAAAACUUCAAAUGCAUCCUUACAAAGUUACAAAGGAUCUUUUUCCAGAAAGGGAAGAGGGGGGGGGAAAAAAAAAAAAGCAAACGAAGAACCCCCCCCCCCCCCCCCCCCCCCCCCCCCCCCCCCCCCCCCCCCCCCCCCCCCCCCCCCCCCCCCCCCCCCCCCCCCCCCC
ensembl:lncRNA